rnacentral:rRNA from 1 species
AGAGUUUGAUCAUGGCUCAGGAUGAACGCUGGCGGUAUGCUUUACACAUGCAAGUCGUACGGGAGUUUUUAACUCAAGUGGCGGACGGGUGAGUAACACGUAAGAAUUUGCCUUUAGGAGGGGGAUAACAACUGGAAACGGUUGCUAAUACCCCAUAUGCUUUCGAGUGAAAUGGAUUUUUCCGCCUAAAGAGAAGCUUGCGGCUGAUUAGCUUGUUGGUAAGGUAAUGGCUUACCAAGGCGACGAUCAGUAUCUGGUUCGAGAGGACGAUCAGACACACUGGAACUGAGACACGGUCCAGACUCCUACGGGAGGCAGCAGUGGGGAAUUUUCCGCAAUGGGCGAAAGCCUGACGGAGCAAUACCGCGUGAGGGAUGACGGCCUAUGGGUUGUAAACCUCUUUUUUCAGGGAGGAAUCAAUGACGUGUACCUGAAGAAUAAGCAUCGGCUAACUCCGUGCCAGCAGCCGCGGUAAGACGGAGGAUGCAAGUGUUAUCCGGAAUCACUGGGCGUAAAGCGUCUGUAGGAGGUCAAAUAAGUCAACUGUUAAAUCUUGAGGCUCAACCUCAAAAUCGCAGUCGAAACUAUUAGACUAGAGUAUAGUAGGGGUAAAGGGAAUUUCCAGUGGAGCGGUGAAAUGCGUAGAGAUUGGAAAGAACACCGAUGGCGAAGGCACUUUACUGGGCUAUUACUAACACUGAGAGACGAAAGCUAGG